AGAGUUUGAUCCUGGCUCAGGAUGAACGCUGGCGGCGCGCCUAACACAUGCAAGUCGAACGGCACCUGCCCUCGGGCAGAAGCGAGUGGCGAACGGCUGAGUAACACGUGGAGAACCUGCCCCCUCCCCCGGGAUAGCCGCCCGAAAGGACGGGUAAUACCGGAUACCCCGGGAUGCCGCAUGGCACCCCGGCUAAAGCCCCGACGGGAGGGGAUGGCUCCGCGGCCCAUCAGGUAGACGGCGGGGUGACGGCCCACCGUGCCGACAACGGGUAGCCGGGUUGAGAGACCGACCGGCCAGAUUGGGACUGAGACACGGCCCAGACUCCUACGGGAGGCAGCAGUGGGGAAUCUUGCGCAAUGGGGGGAACCCUGACGCAGCGACGCCGCGUGCGGGACGGAGGCCUUCGGGUCGUAAACCGCUUUCAGCAGGGAAGAGUCAAGACUGUACCUGCAGAAGAAGCCCCGGCUAACUACGUGCCAGCAGCCGCGGUAAUACGUAGGGGGCGAGCGUUAUCCGGAUUCAUUGGGCGUAAAGCGCGCGUAGGCGGCCCGGCAGGCCGGGGGUCGAAGCGGGGGGCUCAACCCCCCGAAGCCCCCGGAACCUCCGCGGCUUGGGUCCGGUAGGGGAGGGUGGAACACCCGGUGUAGCGGUGGAAUGCGCAGAUAUCGGGUGGAACACCGGUGGCGAAGGCGGCCCUCUGGGCCGAGACCGACGCUGAGGCGCGAAAGCUGGGGGAGCGAACAGGAUUAGAUACCCUGGUAGUCCCAGCCGUAAACGAUGGAUACUAGGUGUAGGAGGUAUCGACCCCUUCUGUGCCGCAGUUAACACAAUAAGUAUCCCACCUGGGGAGU
rnacentral:rRNA from 1 species